CAGCAGCUCCCUCCUCCUCCUCCGUUUCCCUGCCUCUGCUCUACACUGCAGCUCCACCUGAGCCACUUUGGAUGCCUAAAGCAGCAGCAGCAGCCACAGGGAGAGAUCCUAGGCUGGCUGGAGAGAGGCAUCCUGAUCCUUUCUCCUCUGUGAAGUUGGACCUGGAAAAGGCGAUGGGAAGGGUCUGACUGCUCUGCCAUGGGCACCGGAGCCUGGAUCGUGCCAGGAGGAGGAGGAGGAGGAGGAGAAGGGGCAUUGCUGGCACAAGGGGGGCUCUCUCCAUGCCAGCCCCGGAAGCAAAGCAGUGAACAAGUGGAAUACAAACACCUAGAUUUGGAAAAGAUGGACUUCCAGAUAUCAACUAUAAAGUAUCCUUGAGGUCUCUUCCAACUCUAUGAUUCUGUGAUUCCAACUCUACCUUGAGGUCUCUUCCAAUUCUAUGGUUCUAUGAUUCUAUGUAUCUUUGAUGGUCUUUUGGAAUGGAGGGAUUUUAAACAUAAUUCUGUCCACUCACUCAAGGCAGUGAGAAGUUUAUGUAGGCCAGAGAAGAUGAAUCAUACAAACCUCACAACAGAAACUAGUGUGGCUGUCAGAUCCAAGACAAUCACCGAAAACAUGCUGAUUGCCCUGACUCUGUCUGUAAUUACUACCCUGACAAUGCUGUUGAAUUCUUCAGUCAUCUCGGCAAUCUGUACAACCAAAAAGCUUCACCAGCCAGCAAAUUACUUAAUAUGCUCACUGGCUGUUACAGACUUGCUUGUAGCUGUUUUGGUCAUGCCCUUGAGUAUUACCUACAUAGUUAUGGAAAGAUGGACCCUUGGAUACUUUCUCUGUGAGAUAUGGCUGAGCAUAGACAUGACUUGUUGCACAUGUUCAAUACUUCACCUUUGUGUCAUUGCACUGGAUCGAUACUGGGCUAUUACAGAUGCCAUUGAAUACGCCAGGAAGAGAACUGCCAAAAGAGCUGCAGUUAUGAUUGGCACAGUAUGGACCAUAUCCACUUUUAUCUCCAUGCCUCCUCUGUUUUGGAGAAACCAUAGUGCUAAUACCAAUUCCAGUGAAUGUCAGAUUCAACACAGCCAUGUGAUCUAUACUAUUUACUCCACAUUUGGAGCAUUUUAUAUCCCUUUGACCCUUAUAUUGAUUGUCUAUUACCGGAUUUAUCAUGCUGCAAAGAGCCUUUAUCAAAAACGUGGAUCAAGCAGACACCUCAGCAGCAGGAGUACAGACAGUCAAAACUCCUUUGCCAGUUGUAAGCUCACACAGACAUUCUGUGUAUCAGAUUUCUCCACAUCUGAUCCAACCAUGGAAUUUGACAGAAUGCAUGCUUCAAUGAGGAGUCCUACGUUUGACAAUGAUCUGGAUUUUGUUGGAGACAGACAACAGAUUUCCAGUGUACGGGAGCGCAAGGCUGCACGAAUCCUUGGCCUUAUCUUAAGCGCAUUCAUUUUAUCUUGGUUUCCAUUUUUUAUGAAGGAACUUAUUGUGGGCCUAGGACUGGGCAAUGUGUCUUCUGAUGUGGCUCACUUUUUGACAUGGCUGGGUUAUGUGAAUUCUCUGGUCAAUCCUCUGCUGUACACUAGUUUUAAUGAAGAUUUUAAACUUGCCUUUAAAAAGCUCAUUAAAUGUUGGGAACACUCUUAAAACAACACCAGAUGGUUUCAAUGUGACUUACUGGCCUUAAAUAUGAAAGAGAGAGGAAAAAUAACUUAACCUAGCAACCCAUUUGGAUUAUUUUGUUUUGGGGAGCACAUAUAAAAAAGAUUAAUUUGGCUUGUCUUUCUGUUUAAUUUUUCUUUAGUCUAUGAACCUAUCAUGCUGUUUUCUACCUCUUUGUACUAUGAGUAUAUGUGUUUCUAUAUCAUGAGAUUCAAAUACAUUUUAUUACACAGGUUCUUUCCCUCUCUCUGUCUCUCUCUCUCUCUCUCUCUCUCUCACACACACACACACACUGAAAUAGCAGAUGCAAAAUACCCAAUUCAAUAUUUGUCUUUAGGCCACUUCUAAUAAAGUAUGAACCCAGUAUGUCAAUGAUGACCCAUUCUACCUCCUUUCCCCCCCCCCAAGUCUUAUGCAUACAUUUGUUUCAGCACACUGUCCAUUAAAAACAUAAAAGGAACCAUGCUGGAUCAGACCAAAGAUUUGUCUAGUCCAUUCCUCUUUCCUUAAAAUGGUCAACAAGAGAGCUAUGAGAAACCCACAAGCAAGUUGUGAGUUCACUGGCAUGAUUUGCUUGUGUUCCCCAACAUCUAAUAUAGAGGCAUCUUUCCUCUGAUUUUGGAGGUAGUAUAUGGUCAUCCUGACAAGGAGCCACUGAUAAUCUCAUUCCCCUUGAUUUACAAAGGUAGGCUGAUGUACUCCUUCUGGAAAUUGACCCAGUCAUCCCUCUCCUCUAUGGAGCGUCUGCCUAGAUCAUCUGAAUUACUCUGCACUGCCUCUAAAUUCUAUAUGGGGUCUUGUGGUACAUUGGGUAUGUUUGUGUGAAGGCUGGGGCAUACGCAUACCAAGAUCUGGAUAUAGGAAGUAAAGGAGUGAAGAGAGUUUCAUGGAGCACUAGGGUGAACGUCUCUCACAGCCAGACCUGUGUUUAUUGGAGUUUAGGUGAUUCUUAGAAGACUAUUGAUAGAUAAUGUAUUCACUGUAUAUGACUAUUAUGACCACAUAAGGCUGACGACUAUUAUUAUUUUGAAAAAUCUAUAUAAAUGCAUUUGAGAGUCAUUAAGACUUUGAAAAAAUAACCUCGUAGAAGAGUGAUUGAGAGGUGAUAUGAUAGGUAUCUUUAAAUAUAUGAAGCGAUAUCAAUAAAUUAGAGCAAGAUGUAUUUUCGGCUGCUCCAGAGACUAGAAAACAGAGCAACAGAAUAGAACACAGACAAGUUCCAAGAAAAGAGAUUACACCUAAAUGUUAGGAUGAACUUCUUGACUGUAAGAGUGGUUUGAAGGUGGAAUGAACACAUAUGAGGGUGGUAGAGUCUCCUUUUUCUGACGUUUUAAAACAGAGGUUGGAUGGCUGUCUCUCAAAAGAGCUGUAGCUGUGUAUUCCUACAUGGCAGAGGGUUGGACAAGAUAGCUUUCGUGUACAUUCUAGUUCUGUAAUUCUAUGCUUGUUAAAUUAUGGCAAUUACAGGGCAGACUUUUAAAGUCACGAAUACUCUUUGCUUCUUUGGAACAGUACAGCCAUACCUGUCCUGCAGAAUGAAGAAGCAAAUACAGUUUUUUAAAAGGCCAAGAAUGAUCCUCAUUUAUUGUGAGAUAUGCUAUUGUGGGUUCAGAAACAGCGCUAAUUGUUCUUUUGCAACUGCAUCCACAUCUGUGUUGCAAAGCUUCAUCAGUUCCUACAAAGCUGUAAUAUUCUGUAACAUCAUCUUUGAUCUUUCGCUCUCUGCAUCACUAUAUCUUCUUUCAAACUGCUAAUUAGAAUCAGGCCUAAGGCUGUACCAUAAUUAAAACUAAGAAAAUGUUUAUUCUUUGCCAGAUGGCUUGAGAUUACCCGAUUAAAGUAUCAGCUAAGCGAAAAGGCACGUUUUUUAAAAAGCAUGACAACAAUGGCUGGAGAUGCUUCUUUCUUCCUGGCUGCAAACUAAUGAUGGAAAAAACAGCAUUUCAAAGUAAUAUUUCAGGGUAUAGGGGUCAUCUGAAGACAUUUUUCUGCCUGUGAUGAAAGCAUCCUUGCUCCAUUUCACAUUCAGAUGCUGACUGAAGUAGCAGUUGAAUCCCACAUCAAUACAAAUAGAAGGAUUAUAUUCUUCAUAACAUAUUGCAGGACAAGCUGGAUGACAUGUCUGUCCUCCAACAGAAGCAGAAAACCGAAACAUCACCUGAAACAUCACCCCACAUCUACUGCCUGAACUGAUUGUCUUACUCUUCCUAACAGUAGGGCCAGCCCUGCUAAGGCAAGUGGGUCUUAGUGGUUUUCAUUCAAGCCACUGAAGAGAGAAUUUCAACCAGUGCAUCUCAUUCCUAUGUGAUAAAUAACAUAUCUUUCUCUGCAAAACUCUAAAAGGCACAGCAGGUCUCUUUCCCCAGGCACCUCGUAAAGGGCAGGAAUUAUAGGCCUCAUAAAUCUCUAGGGGGAAAAAUGACAGCCAAUCCAGUUUAUGAAAACUUGGAACGAAAUCAAAACCAUGCAUUUUGGGAGGCAAAUCCACAUUAGUCUGGAUUUGGUACCUACUCCCCAAUGCAUUAGUCUGGAGUGGUACCUACUCCCCAAUGCAUGUCUUUAAGAUAGCAGCAGAAGUGGCUGGUGGUUCAGGAAUUACGGGUUGAUGAAUGCACCCACAGUUUUUACAGUGGUUCUUCUAUUUAACAACAACUCUGUCACAGCUAUUCUAGGUUGUAUGGGAGCUGUCCAAGUGCUGAACACACAGUUCUGGAGCCAACAAGCCAUUUCUGGACUGAAUAGUAGAAAUCAUUUACUAGUAAGAUUGGUGCUAGGGGUCUGCCACUUCUUUCCCCAAUCCAAUACCCUCCAGAUGUGUUGGAUUAUUAUUCCCCUCAUCCCUAACCACCAUCAUCAAUGGCUAUAUACAGACGCUUGCUUCUGUACGUAUUGGUUAUGUUCCUGUGACAUAAAAGGGAGUAUGGAAUUACAGGAAAGAAGUUUUGAAAGUGGACAGACACAGCCAUUUUGACCAGUCAGCAAACUUUAGCCACAGAUCUUUAGUACAGGGACUACAAAGUAGGGCAGAAAAUGCUUCUUCUUACAGUUUUUAUGACUGAGUUGUUCUCUUUUCUUGUGUAAGAAAGCUAAAAUAGAAUGGUGAAAUGUCAAAAAGGCACACACAGCUAUGAGAAUUUACAAGACCAGGCAAAUUAGGCAAACACAUAGGCUAGAGCUGUGUGGGUAAUGUACCUGCUGGCACAGUCUCAUAGUGUGCCAACAUUCAUACUUCCUUGGUCAUAGGGAAGGGGAUAUCCAGUACCCCAUGCUCAACAACCUGCUUUCCUUAAUGCACAGCCUCAGCUCUAUGGCAAAUAGGGCAUAAACUCAAAAAACCAUGGCUGCAAGUGCAGUGGGAUCUGAGUCAAAGGAGGAGCCAUUACCCUGCAAGGCCUCUAGGAAACAGUGAAGAACCACAAAGAGGGAGAAAAACACUAGUGGAAGGUCACCACUGGAUACAGUACAUAAUCCCCAUGGAAACAAUUACUUUCAGAAAACAAUUGCAAACAGGUAUAUUCUUCAGCAGAAUACAAGACAGGAUCAUGUGUGCCAUACAUAGGUGUUUUUUUUUUUUUUUAAGAAUCUGUCCCAAGCCAUUUAAAUUCUUCGGCAAGCAAAGCCAAAUUUUGUAGCCUGUAACAAAGAUACAACUUCAUCACAUUCUUCUAAUUUCUUUUGCAAUUGAUUUUAUUUUAUUUUUAUUGCAAAUUACCACUAUAUUCUUAAUUUUAUUCCAGAAUUGGUAUUAACCAAGAACAGGAAGCCUGUGUACGACUGCUUGAAAUCUUUACAAGUAUUUCUUUAGUGGCUGAGAUUUUGGCAGUGAUUGUACACACACUUUCAAAUGGAACUUUUGGGCCCCAUGGGCUAGAAAUGCUCAAUUUUUUGUUGUUGUUAUAAGAAGCUGAAACCACAUUCCAUUCAUAUUUUGUUUUUUCACCCUCAGCUGGUGAAUAAUUAUAUAAUACAAACAACCCUACUAAUAUGCUAAGAGUCAAGUGAAACCUGGGGUGGGGGGAAUCUAAAUCCAAUGAAACUGAAAAUUAAUCUCAAAUGUCAGAUUUCAAAUACUCAAAUUCAACGUGUGAAAUGGGAUUGAGUUUUCUUUGCCUGUUUAAGGACAGGGGAGCAUCCUGAUUGGUUAAAUAA